rnacentral:sRNA from 1 species
CGGAAGUGUCUUUCAGAAGACGGUUGGUUGACGCCUGAACAACAUUAAUCAUCCCAGUUCGAAAGGGGCUUUUCUCAUUUCGACUCCCACGUCGAAGCAUUUCGUCCACGCAUUGAG